CAGUGACUUAUACAAACAGUGACCCCAUCAAUAACAAUGUGGUUAAAAUGUCCAGCCCUUUCAACAGAGACACAUGUAAGGCCGUGCCAAAUAUUUAUGGUAUUAUUACCCUCAAGUCAGUUGGCACCAAGUGCACCCUCACCCAACCGGACACAAAUGUAAGGGAAUUCUGGCUUCAGUUGACGCUUCAAGAAUUUGACGGAGUUUAUCAGAAUGACGACCCAACAUUUUUGUUCCGGUGUUCAUACCCUUUAGAAAACCUAACUCUGUCGACCCAAAUAUCCAAUGCAGGCACAUUUGGCGUCCCUGCCAUUGUCUAUUUGAGUUCAUCUGGGAAACCGGAUAAGGCGUAUUAUUUGAAAAUCUUGAAUUCUACUACUAAAUCUACCAUAACAGGAGCAAAGUUCGGUCAGGAGGU